rnacentral:rRNA from 1 species
AUGAACGCUGGCGGCGUGCCUAAUACCUGCAAGUCGAGCGAACGGACGAGAAGCUUGCUUCUCUGAUGUUAGCGGCGGACGGGUGAGUAACACGUGGAUAACCUACCUAUAAGACUGGGAUAACUUCGGGAAACCGGAGCUAAUACCGGAUGAUAUUUUGAACCGCCUGGUUCAAAAGUGAAAGACGGUCUUGCUGUCACUUAUAGAUGGAUCCGCGCUGCAUUAGCUAGUUGGUAAGGUAACGGCUUACCAAGGCAACGAUGCAUAGCCGACCUGAGAGGGUGAUCGGCCACACUGGAACUGAGACACGGUCCAGACUCCUACGGGAGGCAGCAGUAGGGAAUCUUCCGCAAUGGGCGAAAGCCUGACGGAGCAACGCCGCGUGAGUGAUGAAGGUCUUCGGAUCGUAAAACUCUGUUAUUAGGGAAGAACAUAUGUGUAAGUAACUGUGCACAUCUUGACGGUACCUAAUCAGAAAGCCACGGCUAACUACGUG